rnacentral:rRNA from 1 species
CGGCGAGCGAACUGGGAAGAGCUCAUGGCGAAAUCCGCCGUCGUUGCGACGGUCCGGAUAUUUCGCGUAUAGGAGAGACGCUUCCGAACGCCGACUCCGGUGUAAGUCCCCCUGACUGGGGCUCCUACCCCGAGAGGGUGCAAGGCCCGUAGCGGCCGGCGUCGGCUUCGGAUGUCCUCUCCGGGGAGUCGGGUUGCUUGAGAGUGCAGCCCCAAUCGGGUGGUAAACUCCAUCUAAGGCUAAAUACGACCCGGAGACCGAUAGCGAACAAGUACCGUGAGGGAAAGUUGAAAAGGACUUUGAAGAGAGAGUUCAAGAGUACGUGAAACCGUUCGAAGGUAAACGAGUGGGCCCUCGAAGCCGUAAGGCGGGGGGACUCAGCCGGGCGCCUCGGACCCGCCGCCGCACGCGCGCUUCCCCACCGGGACGCGCCGCGGCGGAACCGGUCCGGGUUCCCGGCGCAUUUCCUCCCGCCCUCGGACGCUGCGACCGGUCGCGCGUGCCACGAGCGGUCGGCCUUACUCGCGGGGACCGGCAGGUAGCGGGGACCGCGCUUCGGCGCCUUCCCCGUGUUUAGCCACCCCGCGAUCGAGAGCCGUUCGCGCGACCGAAGGACUCGGCCCUCA